GCUCCCUUAGCUCAAUUGGCAGAGCAACUGACUCUUAAUCAGUAGGUUGUUGGUUCGAUUCCAACAGGGAGCAC
rnacentral:tRNA from 2 species